AAAAGUUUUCCACAUGAAUUUAUGCUAUUUCUUCAAAUGGAUGUGUUCGAAUAUAUUCAUCAGUAUAUAUUAGUGAUCAAAUUGUUUCUAUGAUCCAAUAUACCUCUCAAGUAUGUCCCGUUUUUCAAAGGGUUCCUCAUGGAGCGGUGCCUCAUCGCGCCGUUGUAUGGUUGCAGACCCUACGAUUAAGGCCAAGCUCUGCUCAUGGUCGAGUGAAGAAUUUCAUGAUGAGUAUGCCCUCAUUUACACUUCUCGUUCCAACCCAUCACGCACUUGCAUUUCUUACUAUAGAGUGAAUUGCGAUGAGGUGCUUUUUACACUCCAUGAUUGCUUGUGUGAAGGAAAUACCGUGAGAAUAGACAUGGAGAUCGUGGGUCAACGAUACAGUGGCCCUUUUUAGACUCGCCAUGCUUCCUUUGAUAGACCUUGGGGAAAAUUUAUAGAAAGAAUAACUGAACCAGGACUGCGCCGACGAUGGAGGUAUCAAGAUAAGUUUGGAGAUAGAGAAGGAUUUUUGCAGUAUAAUAAAUUCACAGAAGAUGAACUUCAGAUUCAAUUCUGCACAGGGCUUGAUGAAGGCAAUGUUAGAUGUCAAGAGAAAAAUCCGAAGAGAAGAGGCUUGGCACAGGCAAGAAGAGUCUGUCCCCAACACUGAACGCUAUUUGGAAUUCAGGGAGCACUCUAGGUAGCCUCAAUAACUCUACGUUGGCAGACUGUCAGAUUAAGGUUAAGAGUAAAAUCAAAUAUGUUGUAAACUGAAAUGUUUAGUCUAUGUGAAGAAGACAAGGAGAUCAGAUUAUCUUAUAGAACAAUCCGAAUGGAUGUUUCUGUCUGUGUAUGUAUACAUAUGAUUAUCAAUAUAUCAAUGUAUGCAAUAAAAUUUAGUGCAUAUUAUACCA